UACAGAGGGUGCGAGCGUUAAUCGGAAUUACUGGGCGUAAAGCGCGCGUAGGCGGCUUUGCAAGUCGGGUGUGAAAUCCCCAGGCUUAACCUGGGAACUGCAUUCGAGACUGCAUUGCUAGAGUAUGGGAGAGGGAAGUGGAAUUUCAGGUGUAGCGGUGAAAUGCGUAGAUAUCUGGAGGAACACCGGUGGCGAAGGCGGCGACCUGGGUGGAUACUGACGCUGAGGUGCGAAAGCGUGGGGAGCAAACAGG
rnacentral:rRNA from 1 species